rnacentral:lncRNA from 12 species
CAGAACUUUCAUGAUCCUGGGUUACAAUCUGCAGUAAAUCACAACUGUUUUAGUUGCAUGUGACAGAAGUGCAACUUCGCCAGGCUUAUGUAAAAAAAGGAUGUCUUGGUUUUUGUACACAGGUGAUCUAGGCUGCAUCUGUUUCAAGCACGGCUGGACUCCAGGAGCAAAAGCGCAUCAUUAGAGCUCACUCUUCCGUCGCUCAGCGCCGCGUGAUUCUGUGUGCCACCCUUUCCGGUCUGAGCGACAACACUGUAUGGACAGCUUCAGCCUCACAUCCUUGACAGGCCCGACAGAGAGUCUCCCUAGAUCGGGCCUAUGGGGAAGUCCCUGUGCAGAAUCAGGAUCGCUCUCCCACCCCCAACUUACUAAGCCUCCUGCACAUUAAAG